UACAGAGGGUGCGAACGUUGUUCGGAAUCACUGGGCAUAAAGCGCUCGUAGGCGGCACCGCAAGUGUGGGGUGAAAUCCCACGGCUUACCCGUGGAACUGCCUGGCAGACUGCAGUGCUAGAGGUUGGUAGGGGAGAGCGGAACUCUUGGUGGAGCGGUGAAAUGCGUAGAUAUCAAGAGGAACACCGGUGGCGAAGGCGGCUCUCUGGUCCAAUCCUGACGCUGAGGAGCGAAAGCUAGGGGAGCAAACGGG
rnacentral:rRNA from 1 species